UUAGCGGCGGACGGGUGAGUAAUGCUUAGGAAUCUGCCUAUUAGUGGGGGACAACAUCUCGAAAGGGAUGCUAAUACCGCAUACGUCCUACGGGAGAAAGCAGGGGAUCACUUGUGACCUUGCGCUAAUAGAUGAGCCUAAGUCGGAUUAGCUAGUUGGUGGGGUAAAGGCCUACCAAGGCGACGAUCUGUAGCGGGUCUGAGAGGAUGAUCCGCCACACUGGGACUGAGACACGGCCCAGACUCCUACGGGAGGCAGCAGUGGGGAAUAUUGGACAAUGGGGGGAACCCUGAUCCAGCCAUGCCGCGUGUGUGAAGAAGGCCUUAUGGUUGUAAAGCACUUUAAGCGAGGAGGAGGCUCUUUUGGUUAAUACCCAGAAUGAGUGGACGUUACUCGCAGAAUAAGCACCGGCUAACUCUGUGCCAGCAGCCGCGGUAAUACAGAGGGUGCAAGCGUUAAUCGGAUUUACUGGGCGUAAAGCGCGCGUAGGCGGCCAAUUAAGUCAAAUGUGAAAUCCCCGAGCUUAACUUGGGAAUUGCAUUCGAUACUGGUUGGCUAGAGUGUGGGAGAGGAUGG
rnacentral:rRNA from 1 species